UACUAGAGACUUCCACAAAAGCGAUCUCACAAAGUAGAUUUCCUGUUAUAACUGGUUUAAAAAUUGUUAAUCGUUAAUCAUUUUUUAAAAGCGUUUACUUUUUCUAAAGACGUAUUACUAAUCUUCAUACCAUUUACUAAAAGCUAUCUUCUCUAUAUAUUAUUGCCGAACUUAAUAGUGUUAGUAGCGCUCUUUCGAGCGUGUUUGACAAACCCAUGGCAACUAUUGCAACCAAAGUAAUGGCGAGGAAGAGUCUCAGCACUUUUUGAUAAGUAAACGUGAACAAAAGUGUAUGCAAAUAUCUAACUAACGUAAACUUCAAAAUAUGAAAUGUUAAAACAUACAAAAACAUGUCAAGUUUUACAGUUUUACUUUCACUUAAAAACAGCAUUGCGGCAACGUCUCUUUAAUUUUGAUCGAUUUACAAAGUCUUUUAUUUAUUAUAUAUUUUUGAAAUUUUCGUCAAAAUGCCGUGGUUAGCUCGCUGAGCUUCUGAUCAGAAAACCUGUGGUUUGAAUCCUACCAUAGUCUAUAUAGUUUUAUUUAUUUUUGGUUUACUAAACUGCGACAUAAAGUCUUGAAACACUUA